GCUUCACAAACUGUAUAAUGCUCUCAAUUGUACCUGAUAAGUAUGUGAAGUCAUUUCAGAAAGCUGCCAUCAACUCAGUACAAGAUACAGCAAAAAUUAAUGUGGUGGUAAACAUAAUACUCGAAUAUUAAAAUACCGGCAGUGCCACUGCAGCCAGUGGUCGAAUUUGGUGACAAAAAUUUAUACUACAGUACUGACUUCCAGCGCUGUUCAGUAAUUAUAAUUAUCACACCCACACUAUAGUUAUGCCGUU
rnacentral:lncRNA from 1 species